GACGAACGCUGGCGGCGUGCUUAACACAUGCAAGUCGAACGGUGACGAGGAGCUUGCUCCUCUGAUCAGUGGCGAACGGGUGAGUAACACGUGAGCAACCUGCCCCAGACUCUGGGAUAACAGUUGGAAACAGCUGCUAAUACCGGAUACGAGACGGAGAGGCAUCUCUACCGUCUGGAAAGUUUUUCGGUCUGGGAUGGACUCGCGGCCUAUCAGCUAGUUGGUGAGGUAAUGGCUCACCAAGGCGACGACGGGUAGCCGGCCUGAGAGGGCGACCGGCCACGACUGGGACUGAGACACGGCCCAGACUCCUACGGGAGGCAGCAGUGGGGAAUAUUGCACAAUGGGCGAAAGCCUGAUGCAGCGACGCCGCGUGAGGGAUGAAGGCCCUCGGGUUGUAAACCUCUUUCAGCAGGGAAGAAGCGAAAGUGACGGUGCCUGCAGAAGAAGCACCGGCUAACUACGUGCCAGCAGCCGCGGUAAAG
rnacentral:rRNA from 1 species